rnacentral:sRNA from 1 species
ACAAAGCGUUAGGGAUUGAAGUGAAAAUCCUUUAAAAUGUUUCUUAAAAACAUUUUAAAGAUUGAAACGAAAAGCCCGACCCGUC